GGAGCUUGCUUUGGGAAUGCCUAGUGGCGCACGGGUGAGCAACACGUGAGUGACAUACCCCGCAGUGGGGGAUAGCCCGNCGAAAGGCGGAUUAUACCCCAUGGUAUCGCAAGAUUAAAGGUGGCUUCGGCUGCCGCUGCGGGAUUGGCUCGCGUCCUAUCAGUUAGUUGGUGAGGUAACGGCUCACCAAUGCGACGACGGGUAGCUGGUCUGAGAGGAUGAUCAGUCUCACUGGAACUGAGACACGGUCCAGACACCUACGGGUGGCAGCAGUCGAGAAUAAUUCACAAUGGACGAAAGUCUGAUGGUGCAACGCCGCGUGGAGGAUGACGGUCUUCGGAUUGUAAACUCCUGUCAUCGGGGAGUAAGACCUGGCUGUGAAUAGCAGACAGGGUUGAUAGUACCCGAAGAGGAAGGGACGGCUAACUUCGUGCCAGCAGCCGCGGUAAUACGAAGGUCCCGAGCGUUGUUCGGAAUCACUGGGCGUAAACGGAGCGUAGGCGGCAGGGUAAGUCAGAUGUGAAAUCCCGGGGCUCAACCCCGGAACGGCAUCCGAUACUGCCCUGCUUGAGUAAUGGAGGGGUAGCUGGAAUUCUCGGUGUAGCAGUGAAAUGCGUGGAUAUCGAGAGGAACACUCGUGGCGAAAGCGAGCUACUGGACAUUGACUGACGCUGAGGCUCGAAGGCCAGGUUAGCGAAAGGGAUUAGAUACCCCUGUAGUCCUGGCAGUAAACGGUGUGCGCUUGGUGUGAGGGGUUUCGACCCCCCUUGUGCCGGAGCUAACGCGUUAAGCGCAACCGCCUGGGAAGUACGGUCGCAAGACUAAAACUCAAAGAAAUUGACGGGGACCCGCACAAGCGGUGGAGUAUGUGGCUUAAUUCGAUGCAACGCGAAGAACCUUACCUGGGCUUGACAUGCAUUGCUAAUCCGCUGAAAGGCGGUGAGUCUUCGGACACUUGCAACAGGUGCUGCAUGGCCGUCGUCAGCUCGUGUCGUGAGAUGUUGGGUUAAGUCCCGCAACCGAGCGCAACCCCUGUGAUUAGUUUGCCAGCACGUGAAGGUGGGACCUCUAAUCAGACUGCCCAGAUCAAC
rnacentral:rRNA from 1 species